rnacentral:tRNA from 1 species
UCCGUGAUAGCUCAGUUGGUAGAGCUCCUGACUGUUAAUCAGGCGGUCCCAGGUUCGAGUCCUGGUCACGGAGC